GAUGAACGCUGACAGAAUGCUUAACACAUCAGCAAUUGAUUGGUGGCGGACGGGUGAGUAACGCGUAAAGAACUUGCCUCACAGCUAGGGACAACAUUUGGAAACGAAUGCUAAUACCUAAUACUGUGAGAGAGCUUUGCGUCCCAUUAGCUAGUUGGAGAGGUAACGGCUCACCAAGGCGAGGAUGGGUAGCCGGCCUGGGAGGGUGAUCGGCAACAAGGGGACUGGGACACGGCCCUUACGCCUACGGGAGGCAGGAGUGGGGAAUAGUGGAAAAUGGACCAAAGUCUGAUCCAGCAAUUCGGUGUGAACGAUGAAGUUGGCGGAAGGUAAAGUGCUUUCAGUUGGGAAGCGGUACCAACAGAAGAAGUGACGGCUAAAUACGUGCCAGCAGCCGCGGUAAUUC
rnacentral:rRNA from 1 species